AAGCCGAAGACCCCCUAGGCCGUCAUACGCACCUGGGGGUACGAAGCCCCACCACGAAAGUAGCUUUAUUAAAGCCUACCCGACCCCACGACAGCUAAGAUACAAACUGGGAUUAGAUACCCCACUAUGCUUAGCCGUAAACUUCGAUGUCCUGCCACAGCCGACAUCCGCCAGGGGACUACGAGCACCAGCUUAAAACCCAAAGGACUUGGCGGUGCCUCAGACCCACCUAGAGGAGCCUGUUCUAGAACCGACAACCCCCGUUAAACCUCACCACCCCUUGUUAAACCCGCCUAUAUACCGCCGUNCGUCAGCUCACCCUGUGAAGGCCCCAUAGUAAGCAAAAUGGGCAAAACCCAGAACGUCAGGCCGAGGUGUAGCGUACGAGGUGGGAAGAAAUGGGCUACAUUUUCUGACCCAGAAUAUUACGGACGGCACCAUGAAACGGGUGCCCGAAGGCGGAUUUAGCAGUAAAAAGAAAAUAGAGAGUUCUUUUGAACCCGGCUCUGAGGCGCGCACACACCGCCCGUCACUCUCCCCGCACCCCCAACCUAAAGUAAAUAACAAAAUUAACUCACCAAGGGGAGGCAAGUCGUAA
rnacentral:rRNA from 1 species